rnacentral:misc_RNA from 1 species
UGGAAGAUUUAGUGAGGUGGUACAACAGUUUGGUAUACAAAAGAGCAAUUCUGAUCAUUUUGUAUUUUUUAAGCAUUCUGAAAGUGGUCUAAUCUUACUUGUGAUAUAUGUUGAUGACAUUGUCAUUACUGGACGUGACUCUGCUGGCAUUUCAUUGCUUAAGUCAUUUCUUCAGACUCAAUUUUAAACAAAAGAUUUGGGUUUAUUAAAAUAUUUUUUGGGCA